rnacentral:lncRNA from 1 species
CGGCAAAGUCACAGCCCCAGACAUCUGUUUCCUCUUAGUGUGUCCUCAGCUUAGUGAGUAAGCAGCAGGCUCCCGUCCCUCCUUUGGGAGGGAGUUACGGGAACCUACUCUCCUCUAACAAGCAGUGGAAAGACCGGGAAUCCAGCAUGAGCGCCCCAAGGUUUGUCUGAAGAUCAGAGGGCAGAGCCAGCCACUAGUUAACCAUAGAGGUCUGGAGGUCUGUAUGGACAGACAGGAAGUGAGAUGGCUGGACAGAGAGAGCAAGUGAUACAGCGGGAGGAGACUUCUGCUGGGAAAUUGAGUAGGCAGGAAUUUGCACAUGGAGACCAAGUGGAGGGCCCCAGCCAAUGGCCUCGGCAUCCUUCUUGCUUGCUGAGUGCAUGUGCACGUCACCUUGUCACUGUGGGACCCACAAGUCAAUCGAGAAGGCGGGAUUCCAACUACUAUGAAAUACCCUAGUCAGCGCGACAGAUGAGAGCCUGAUUCCCCACAUUAAGUCAAGGAUACAGAGCACAUCUGCACCAGUACAGAAACUUCAGAAGCCUACAGUAAGCCUGGAAGUCUAGGGCCACCAUGCUACCUCCUCUCUGCAUUCCCAGAU